UACGUAGGGCGCGAGCGUUGUCCGGAAUUAUUGGGCGUAAAGAGCUCGUAGGUGGCCCCGUAAGUCCGCUGUGAAAGUCAAAGGCUCAACCUUUGAAAGCCGGUGGAUACUGUGGGACUAGAGUACGGAAGAGGCGAGUGGAAUUCCUGGUGUAGCGGUGGAAUGCGCAGAUAUCAGGAGGAACACCAAUAGCGAAGGCAGCUCGCUGGGACGUUACUGACACUGAGGCGCGAAAGCGUGGGGAGCGAACAGG
rnacentral:rRNA from 1 species